rnacentral:lncRNA from 10 species
AAUUCAUUUAUGCAAGAAAUAUUUAUUAAUCACCUAAAUCAUUCUAGAAACUGGGGAUACAGCAGUAAAGAAUACAAAAAAUCCUGCCCUUAUAGAGCAUACAUUCUAGAGGUGGGAAAGAGGCAAUAAAUAAGAUAAUUGAGUGCUAUAUAGUAUGUUAGGUAUUGAGUGCUAAGGAAAAUAAUAAAAUGAGGAAAGAGGAUAGGAAAUGCCAGAUGGUUUACAAGUUUAGCUAUUGUGUUCAAGAAAGUUCUCACAAAAAGGUAAGUUGAGUGAAGACCUGAAGGAGGUAAAAGAGUGACCUUUGCGGAUAUCUGGGAAAGACUGUCCCCAGGAGAAUGAACAAUAAGGGCAAAGACCCUGAGGUAGGUAUUAUCAUCUCCAUUUUUACAGAUGGGAAAAUUACUUGCCCAAGAGCCCAUUGCUUGAAGACGGAGCCAGGAUUCAAACUCAGGUCUGCUUGAUGUUAGAGCUAGUGUACCACACACCUGCCCAGCGACGUAGUGUGAGUGACAUUAGGCAAUCUAGAAACACUCUAUACUAUGGAUGAUGACACAAAGCCUAGAAGCAUGAAGCAACUUGCUGGGAUGAACACGUGUGGAUAAUGGCUGAGCUGAGACUGGUGUGCUGUCAUUUCCACUCCACCAUCCCUGCUUCCAGAAUCCAGGCAUUUUUCCUCUAGCUAGAAAUAUUUCCCAGAGAAGUUAAUGGACUUGGUAUAACUUUAUCAAUGUGUUUUGCCAAUAGGCAUUUUAAAGUCUUGUCAUUCCCCAGCCAUACUAAAUGAUGUCUUUGAGCUCUGAUUUCUCUCGUUGGUAGGUGUGGGAUAGUUAUGGAGCACAGAUUACAGAGUUAGAUACAUCUAAACCUGAAAACAGGCCCCACACUUUUGUAGCUAUGUGAUCUUGGGCAAGUUAUUAAAUACAGUGACCGGUACAGGGGAGAUGCACUAAAUGUGUUCAC